CCUGCGAGUCUACCGUUAAAGGAAAAGGCUUUCCAAGGGAAAAUCUCAGCGAGAGGGAAAAGGCUUGGCUCGCCCAAACUAUUCUUCAAGCAGUGUGGGACUUGUUUCCCCCACUGCACAAGGAGCUGGACAGGGGUAGAGGCCGGAUCCUUCCUGUCCCAGUUCCCCGGGGAGCUCCAAAGAGCUCUGUCCCGCAUCCGAAAACAACAGGCUUUCGCACUUCCAUCUCUGGCACGACCUGUUCUACGGCUCUGUACUCAUCACUCUCCUCCGCCGCCAGCAGUAGCCGCCGGGACAGGAUGCAGCUCCGGGAGGCAAGGAGGCAGCGCCCCAAGUUCUUUCCGGCCUCUCGGACACAAGAGCGCCCCAGAGGGGAAGGAAGCUGCAAGGAAGGGGCUCGGGAACUCUGAGGGGUGGCUCGCGAGGCCAGAGCCCGAAGCUGGGGAAGUGACCUCGGCGGCCAAGGUCGAGCAGGUCCUUGUCUCUCCCAGUCCCCCCGGCGAGCACCUUUGCCCUCCGCCGGAACAGCAGGGCCUGAGCCCGCGGGAGCGCUCGGGGAGGCUCAGCGCCCCGGGGCGGCCGGGGACCAGCGUCCCUUUGGGAUGCUGCGGGCGGCGGGGGGCUGCCCGGGGGGCGCAGGUGAGCGCGGCGGCCCCGCCCUCCGGCGGGAAGGGCCUUUGCCCCCGAAGCGGCACCCGGUGGGGCGAGAACUUCCGAAGCGCGUGCCCGGAGCGCCCGGAGGGCCUGGCCGGGCUCCCCGAGGCUCCCGCACGGGAGCCCACUUCCCGCGCGCCGCGCCCGAGUCCCUCCAUCCCGCCGCCCCCGAGCCCCCGCUCUCGGGGUCUCUCUCCCACCCCUCAUCUCUUCUCCUCCACGACCCCCGAAAAGUUUGGCCGCGGCCCCCGGCCCGGAGCCCCGCACUCACCCCGCGGGCAGCGGAGCCGAAGCGCCCCGCGCGCGGAGCAGAGGGCGGCGGCGGGCGGUGGCGCGAGCGCGCGGCUCCUCACAGCGGCCCCUGCUGCCCGGGCCGCAGACCGCGCCGAACAAGGGGAGGCCGCCGCCGUCGCCGCCGGGUCACCUGCCCGCUCUCCCACCCCGCCGCGUGACGCCGCUCAGCGCCGCCCCGGCCAGCCCGCCGCCGCCCCCGCAGUCGCCAGGUACCCGCGCGGGGCGGGAGGGAGGAGCGGCGAGCGGCGCCCCACCUCCGCCCCCCGCGCCAGGCGCGGCCUGGGAGGGGACUGCCGGCCGCUCGGGGAGGUCGGGCUGGCCAGUGCGCGCAUCUCCUUUCAUUCUGAGCGCAAGUGCCAUCACCUGAGGUCAUCUCGAGUGACAGAAAUAGGGGGAAAACUGUCAUCAUGCAUGACUCAGGAAUGA
rnacentral:lncRNA from 1 species